UUCCGGUUGAUCCUGCCAGAGGUCACUGCUAUCGGGGUUCGAUUAAGCCAUGCGAGUCGAGAGGGUUCGGCCCUCGGCGUACUACUCAGUAACACGUGGAUAACCUGCCCUAAGGAAGGGGAUAACCUCGGGAAACUGAGGAUAAUACCCUAUAGGUUACAGAUGCUGGAAUGCCCUGUAACCAAAAGCUCCGGCGCCCUAGGAUGGAUCUGCGGCCGAUUAGGUUGUUGUUGGGGUAACGGCCCAACAAGCCCGUAAUCGGUACGGGUUGUGGGAGCAAGAGCCCGGAGUUGGAUUCUGAGACACGAAUCCAGGCCCUACGGGGCGCAGCAGGCGCGAAACCUUUACAAUGCGGGCAACCGUGAUAAGGGAACCUCGAGUGCCUGUAAACGCAGGCUGUUCAGGUGUUUAAAACGCACCUGGAGAAAGGGCCGGGCAAGACCGGUGCCAGCCGCCGCGGUAAUACCGGCGGCUCGAGUGGUGGCCGCUUUUAUUGGGCUUAAAGCGUUCGUAGCUGGGUUGUUAAGUCUCUUGGGAAAUCUGGCGGCUUAACCGUCAGGCGUCUAAAGGGAUACUGGCAAUCUUGGAACCGGGAGAGGUGAGGGGUACUUCGGGGGUAGGGUGAAAUCCUGUAAUCCUCGAGGGACACCUGUGGNGAANCGCCUCACCAGAACGGCUUCGACAGUGAGGGACGAAAGCUGGGGGAGCAACCGGAUUA
rnacentral:rRNA from 1 species